rnacentral:rRNA from 1 species
UGAGGAAUAUUGGACAAUGGGCGAAAGCCUGAUCCAGCCAUGCCGCGUGAGUGAAGAAGGCCCUAGGGUUGUAAAGCUCUUUCAGGGGGGAAGAUAAUGACGGUACCCACAGAAGAAGCCCCGGCUAACUUCGUGCCAGCAGCCGCGGUCAUACGAAUGGGGCUAGCGUUGUUCGGAAUUACUGGGCGUAAAGCGCACGUAGGCGGAUCGUUAAGUCGGGGGUGAAAUCCUGGGGCUCAACCUCAGAACUGCCUUCGAUACUGGUGAUCUCG